AGUGUGUGAGCCAGUGAGCGCUUUAAAUAGAAAUCGCGAAAUAGUCAACUCGAUGGAAGUCGCCGUCUAGAAAAAUAGCAAAACAGCCAAAAUAACCACUUGUGAGCCAAAGUGACACAAUGUAAAGAGCAAACGAAAAUAUAAAAAUAAAUUAACUAAUAAAUUCAAUUGGAUUAACUCAAACAUCGCAGGGGAUGGAGUAUCAAAGGCCCUGAUCCUAAAUAAAACGAAUUUAAAAACACCGUAGUAAUUUUUCAAGAGCAGUAAAAUUUGAAAACAAUGAAAUAUAUAAAGAAUUUAUGACUGACAACGGUCUUGAAUUAAAGUGGAAGUGAUAUUGGUGCACUAAAGCAGCACCCGGAAAACAUCAACGAGGCAACGUACAAAAUUAAAGUUUUAAAAAUUCGUAAAGGAAAAUUUGGCGGUAAAGUGACUCAACAUUUAACGAUAUGGGAAAUAUGGCGCUGAGACGAUCAGCACAGGGUGUUGCCAAGUCGAAUAGCAUCGCAGUGAGAAGUCCAAUAUCCCUAUCGCUGGUACUGCUGCUUUGCUUAGCGCUAGUCGAUAGCUCCAGUGCACAAGUUGAUACCACCAUUAGUCAGCAAGAAAGUCAAUCAGUUGUGCUACCGUGCCCCGUCGAUGCAGAAAAGUGCGGAAAACUCCACUCACUAAAUUGGUUUAAGGGCGAUGAUCGCAUUGCUGCAAUGCUUCUUGGCGAUAGUAAUGUCACGAGUGUUAAUAAAGAGUUCGACGAAAGGGUUACUGUGGAGCAAAACCCAUACAGACUAGUAAUUAAGGACUUAAAAAUAGCUGAUGAAGAUAUUUAUCUAUGUGAUACUACAUUUUUUAUACCAGAAGAAACUUGUGAUAACUUUAAUGGAUAUCGAAUAGAAUUGAGAGUCUUAGAAAACAUUGUGCCACCCACUGAGGUAGUUAUCUUGGAUGCAAAAGGAGAUCGAAUCGAGAACGGCAGUGUAGUGGGCCCCAUGCAGGAACGCCAGUCCCUCAAAGCUACGUGCACUGUAAGGAACACCCGGCCUCAACCUGAAGUGAGCUGGUUUCGUGGAACAAAGCGUCUAACAACUUACUCCCCCACGCAUGACCUAGUCGAUGGUCUUUAUACGUCAACACUCGAGUUGGAUUGGACAUUGUCUCGCGAAGAUCUUGCUCAGGAUAUUGAAUGUCGCGUGAAAUCUGCCGCAAUACCAAAUGUUACUGUAACUAAGUUUAGCGUGGAUCUACAAGUUCGGCCAACUAGCAUUGACAUUAAUGGGGUAAAACAUCACACAGUGCAAGGCAGCAAAGUGGUUUUAACAUGUGACAUUCACGGAGCUCGACCGGCAGUAAAUCUUACUUGGUAUAAUACAACCACCGUAAUAAGUUCUGGCGAAAAUGAAAUAACUGAAGUUCGGACUAAAUCGCUCGAGAAAAGCGAUGGCACCUUUCACACUCAAUCCGAACUAAUUUUUAAUGCCACUCGCUUUGAAAAUGAUCGCGUUUUUCGCUGCGAAGCGGAAAAUAUUGUUUUGCAAAUUAAUCGCGAAAAACCAAUUUCAUCUGCCCUCACGUUGGAAGUCUUAUAUCCCCCCGUAGUCAAAGUCAGUCCAUCUGCUAUAACUGCCAAUACAAGUGAAAUAGUUCUUCUUAAUUGUGAAUACUUUGCAAACCCAGCUUCUCUGACUCAAGUUGAAUGGUAUCGGAAUGAUAUUUUAGUGAAUGUCAAUGACACGACUCAUUAUAAAGGUGGUAAUUCGGAGAAUGUGGCUCUUGUUAUAAAAUCUACUGAAAAAGAGGACAUUGGAAAUUAUUCAUGCCAAUUGUCAAAUAAUAUUGGCACAGGAACUUCUGAUCACAAAAUAAAUCUUGACGUGCAGUAUGCCCCAAGUGUUGAAAUUCUAAUGAUACCGGAAGGACCGGUGAAGGAAAGCGAUGAAUCAAAUGUGACCCUAUUUUGCAACGUCUUGGAUGCAAAUCCGUCUGUUCUUACCAAAGUGAGGUGGUACGCCAACUCUACGCUCCUUAAGGAACUUCCAGACUGCGAAGAAACAAGAGAGGACCUGUGUCACAUAGACCCCAGCAAACUUUUGUUGGAGAGCAUUGGUCGUGGCUUCUUCUACAAUUAUUCCUGUGAGGGAUUCAAUGCUGCAGGCUGGGGUCCACGAAGCGAAGAUAAAGAGCUGUUGGUACAUUACGAGCCAGGUCCUGCGGCGUUAUCUCAUUUCCCGUUAGUCGCCGUUAAGAAAAAGAGUGUGACAUUCUCCUGUUCCGUAGAUGAUCCCGGAUUUCCAGAAUCAAAUAGAUUUCGUUGGCUACGCGGCGGUCGGGGUCCUCUGCAGGACAUUGUGACGAAGGACUGGACGGUGGAGCCAGUGGGUCUGGAUAGUCGGACAAACUAUUCUUGCUACGCAUACAAUGAGGGAGGCAAAGGUGUGAUGGCCACGGUAAACUUAGAGGUACACGCACCCCCGUUUUUCAUCAAGAACUUGCCUCCGUACACGGGAAUUUUGCAUUCUUCACCAAAUGCAACUUUGACUUGUCGCAUCGAAUGCGUCCCGCGAUGCGACAUAUCUUGGCAAAAGGACGGUGUGCCAAUAGAAAGGAACGAUACCCGAUAUUUUAUUAAAGAAAAAUACAUGGAUGCCUCCCCCGCAACGGGAGAUUUUGAAAGCAUGCUAUCAGUCUUGCACUUCAAUAUGCCCAAUUGGCCCGAUUCGAAAUUCAACAUCGAGGCUGAUAAUGCAAACUACUCAUGUGUAUCAACGGGAAAUAUCGUCGGCGGAAGCAUAAGGAGUCGCACCUAUUUUGGCAUUGAGUAUGCACCCGAAAAUACGACGGUUUCGGAGAACAUUGUUUAUGUGCAGGAAGGCACAAUACCAGGACGAGUUAUUUGCAAGUCUCGAGCUAACCCAGAGCCUUCUUACAAGUGGAUUUUCAAAAACGAAACUAUAGCCAAUGGCAAUGCGUUAAUUAUUAAUACUGCUAUGAACCGAAACGAUGAUGGAACAUAUACGUGUUUUGCGUAUAACAAGCACGGCAGCAGCAUUGCGAAAACCGUAAUUAAAGUACAAUUUAAGCCACGUUGCGAAAUCGAGAGACAGGAAAUCGAUGACCAGGACACGCUCAUUUGUACUGCGUACGGAAAUCCUAUAGAGGCAGAUUUCUCUUGGUCAAUUAAAACUGAAAAUGAAACAGACGAAAACUUGGGCAGCGGAAAAAAAGAAAAUUCGGUGGAAAGGAGUUUUUACAUAUUGGAGACGGACUAUGCAAUAUCCAGGACUUACAGAUGUGUUGCGAAUAAUACAGUUGGUUACGGCCCGUUUUGUGAAAUUGAAGUAGCUGCUGCUUCAUCACUUUUAGUUUGGUGGCAAGAACAACUGGCAUGGUGGCAACUCUGGGAAAAGAACACACUCAUCAUACUAGUUGCUGCUAUCUUGGGAUUACUGCUGACCGUAAUUGUAAUAUGUUGCAUAAUUAUAUGUAUAUGCCGUCGCCGUCGACGUCAGGAUAAAUAUCUCACGGAAGUGCCUAUAAGUUCAAUCCAAAGUGCAUUGUCUGAUCAGUUAGAUAUGUCACGAUCGGGUAGGAAUCUAUCAACACAGGAUAAAUGUACAGCCAUUUUGCCAAAUCCAUCUUCCUCGCGGGUUAUUGGUAGCGCACCAAAAUCGCCACCGCGCUGGCCAAUUCGACCUGGGGUAAUGCUGCAUGUGAGCAGUAACACCAAGGAAAAUUUGACUGUAAAUCGAAUGACAGUAAAAGCGAACGUGUCUGGUAAUCGUGGCGACAUGAGUCAGUUGUCGGCUCAAUUGAGUGCUGCAUUAAACGGAAGCCGGGAUAAUUCGGAUGGCACCAUACUAACCGAGUUUUCCGCGGUGUCAGGGGAAAAUGCAGCAUCAGAUCAUUCGUUACUAGAAGUAACAAACCGGAAGAAAGCAACUGUACCUUCAACAAUAAGAAAUGUAUCUACAGCUGAAGGGGCGCCCCAGGAAAACAUAUCUUCCAAAACUCACAGUGCUGGCCACUUCGCAUUGGAUCAUGUCUGGUCACUGAUAUUCAAAAAGUCAGACGAUUGCACUCGGGAUAGUCAACGGAGCCAUGUUGGCCUUUUACAGACCUUUUGGCGCGGACUGGCUGCUAAGGAGAGCGCCUCCGGAUUUGAGAGUCAGCAUCGUUUGAAAGGAAUACGUUGCAGCGGAAGUGUAACCUACAAAAAGGCAAAAGAGACUGUACAUUCAACGUCUGACGCAGCAUCAAAUGGCGAAUCAUCAUUAACCAACGAAAAGCCCAACAACUGCCAGCCGCCCGUGCCAAUUCCAUUGCAUUCCAUUGCAAACAUGGAGGAAAAAGCAUCUACAUUUUUAUUACAAGAUGAAAGGAAUAAUUCAUCCAAGGAAGUAGAAAACAUACCGUGUAAUGUUGUUCCUUCUGUAACACGGGGAUGCUCCAUUGAAUCUCCGCAGAGACCUGCCCCUUCAUCAUUACCCAUAAAGAAUUUUUCUAGUGUAACCAGCUGGGGAUGUUCUGGUAAUUCAACGAUGGUCCCAUCCAAUAUACUCGCUAACGAGCAAAUACACGACAAGUCGUCUUCACUGGGGGAACCGUUGACGGAACCUGGCGAGUAUGAGAAUCUACCAUUUCAUGGUCUGCAAACGGCACCUAACAAGCAUCUUUCCGACUUUGAGGAUCCUUACAAAAGCAGCAAUACAUAUAUAUUCUAAGUUUUAAUUUGAAUACAUUUCCAUAACAAAGAGAUAAUGUUCAUUGUCCGAGUAGAAAGAAGCCAAUAAAUGCCCAAAUUUUUGAUGAUGAAUUCAUUUAUGCUGAUCUCGAGAGUCAACAUUACGGACCUAUCAAUUACAAGGCGGCUU
rnacentral:misc_RNA from 1 species